UACGAAGGGGGCUAGCGUUGCUCGGAAUCACUGGGCGUAAAGGGUGCGUAGGCGGGUCUUUAAGUCAGGGGUGAAAUUCUGGAGCUCAACUCCAGAACUGCCUUUGAUACUGAAGAUCUUGAGUUCGGGAGAGGUGAGUGGAACUGCGAGUGUAGAGGUGAAAUUCGUAGAUAUUCGCAAGAACACCAGUGGCGAAGGCGGCUCACUGGCCCGAUACUGACGCUGAUGCACGAAAGCGUGGGGAGCAAACAGG
rnacentral:rRNA from 1 species